rnacentral:rRNA from 1 species
UACGUAGGGUGCAAGCGUUAAUCGGAAUUACUGGGCGUAAAGCGUGCGCAGGCGGUUAUGCAAGACAGAGGUGAAAUCCCCGGGCUCAACCUGGGAACUGCCUUUGUGACUGCAUAGCUAGAGUACGGUAGAGGGGGAUGGAAUUCCGCGUGUAGCAGUGAAAUGCGUAGAGAUGUGGAGGAAUACCGAUGGCGAAGGCAGCCCCCUGGGAUAACACUGACGCUCAUGCACGAAAGCGUGGGGAGCAAACAGG